UCCCUGGUGGCUCAGAUGGUAAAGAAUCUGCCUCCAAUGCAGGAGACCCAGGUUCGAUCCCUGGGUUGGGAA
rnacentral:tRNA from 1 species